rnacentral:rRNA from 1 species
AUUGAACGCUGGCGGCAUGCCUUACACAUGCAAGUCGAACGGCAGCACGGGUGCUUGCACCUGGUGGCGAGUGGCGAACGGGUGAGUAAUACAUCGGAACGUACCUUAUCGUGGGGGAUAACGCAGCGAAAGCUGUGCUAAUACCGCAUACGCCCUGAGGGGGAAAGCGGGGGAUCGCAAGACCUCGCGCGAUUAGGGCGGCCGAUGCCUGAUUAGCUUGUUGGUGGGGUAAAAGCCCACCAAGGCGACGAUCAGUAGCUGGGCUGAGAGGACGAUCAGCCACACUGGGACUGAGACACGGCCCAGACUCCUACGGGAGGCAGCAGUGGGGAAUUUUGGACAAUGGGGGCAAACCUGAUCCAGCAAUGCCGCGUGAGUGAAGAAGGCCUUCGGGUUGUAAAGCUCUUUUGUCAGGGAAGAAACACCGGCUCUAACACAGUCCGGGAAUGACGGUACCUGAAGAAUAAGCACCGGCUAACUACGUGCCAGCCGCCGCAGUAA